rnacentral:rRNA from 1 species
AAUCAACGCUGGCGGCGUGCCUCAGACAUGCAAGUCGAACGCUGCUGUUCGCCUUCGGGUGGACAGCGGAGUGGCGCACGGGUGAGUAACACGUAGGUAAUCUACCUUUGGGUGGGGAAUAACAGCCGGAAACGGCUGCUAAUACCGCAUAAUGCAGCGGCAUCACAUGAUGACAGUUGUUAAAGCGAGGGAUCGCAAGACCUCGCGCCUGAAGAGGAGCCUGCGGCAGAUUAGGUAGUUGGUGAGGUAAUGGCUCACCAAGCCUGCGAUCUGUAACCGGCUGAGAGGGCGGUCGGUCACACUGACACUGACA